GAAGAAUCUUGUGCAUAAAAAAAAUCAAUGCACACUCUAACUUCUUUACCAAGAAACCGCUAGAAAACAAAACCCUAAAGAAAGAAAAAACUUACGUUGUCAAUGGUUUGGAAAAGCUUUGCGGUGAGAUCUUUAAGGCUUUGCUUCUCUUCCUUAGGCUUAGCGGAGAUAACGGUGUUGAGAUCGUAACGGAGGUACGAUGCUCUUAAACGGAGAUCGUUCUGAACAUAGGGCCAAGCUUUUUUGUCGAUAAAUGACUUAACGUUGAUGAUCUCUUUAGCAGAAUCUUUGGCUCUAGCUGCAGCUUCUGUUGGUGACAAUGGUUGUAU
rnacentral:lncRNA from 1 species